CUUGUUAGCAGGGUUGUCAGAUGUCCCGAUUUGAGCGGAUUGUCCCGAGUUCAAAGACAAAUCCAGAGUCCCGCUUUGCCUCUGAAAAUCCCAGUUGAACAAAGAUUAUACGCAGAUACGACCUACCGUGUUAGUCGAAAAGUCUUUUAUCAGUAUCACUUCACUUUCAAAACGAAUUACACACGAGCAGCCGUGAUGAGCAAGAUUGCCAGGUGUAAUAAAAUAUGGACAUCACACAAAGAUUAAUUAAGACCAAGAGGACAAUAUCUUUCAUAACCAGCAGAGAUGCAAUCCUUCAUAGUGAUGUUGGACAAUCUCUAAGCCAUGGUUAUGACUCAACAUAUUGAGAAAGUCACAAUCA